UUGCGGCCACAUUACCUUGAAAUACCGGUUCUGUACGAUCACCGAAGUUAAUCAAGCUCGAGCCUGGUUAGUACCUAGAUAGAUGUCUGCUUGGGAAAACCACGUGCUGUAAG